UACGGGGGGGGCAAGCGUUGUUCGGAAUUACUGGGCGUAAGGGGUGCGUAGGCGGCUUUUUAAGUCGGAUGUGAAAACUCUGGGCUCAACCCAGAGACUGCAUCCGAAACUGGAGAGCUAGGGUUCUGGAGGGGAAAGCGGAAUUCCUGGUGUAGCAGUGAAAUGCGUAGAUAUCAGGAGGAACACCGGUGGCGAAGGCGGCUUUCUGGACAGAUACCGACGCUGAGGCACGAAAGCUAGGGGAGCAAACAGG
rnacentral:rRNA from 1 species